rnacentral:rRNA from 1 species
UACGGGGGGGGUAAGCGUUGUUCGGAAUUACUGGGCGUAAAGGGCUCGUAGGCGGCCAACUAAGUCAGACGUGAAAUCCCUCAGCUUAACUGGGGAACUGCGUCUGAUACUGGAUGGCUUGAGUGCAGGAGAGGAACGCGGAAUUCCAGGUGUAGCGGUGAAAUGCGUAGAUAUCUGGAGGAACACCGGUGGCGAAGGCGGCGUUCUGGACUGCAACUGACACUGAGGAACGAAAGCCAGGGUAGCAAACGGG